rnacentral:rRNA from 1 species
UACGGGGGGAGCAAGCGUUGUUCGGAUUUACUGGGCGUAAAGGGCGCGUAGGCGGUCAGCACAAGUCAGUUGUGAAAUCUCCGGGCUUAACUCGGAAAGGUCAACUGAUACUGUGCGACUAGAGUGCGGAAGGGGCAACUGGAAUUCUCGGUGUAGCGGUGAAAUGCGCAGAUAUCGGGAGGAACACCAAUUGCGAAGGCAGCUCGCUGGGACGUAACUGACGCUGAGACGCGAAAGCGUGGGGAGCAAACAGG